rnacentral:misc_RNA from 1 species
CCCCGAGCUUGCAAGGUGACCAGCGAAAAGGCGGACGGCCCCCUUCCUCGCCGCACACGCCGACUUCUCACUUGCCUCGACAGCUCUCGUAAACCAGAGAGCGUGUGUGGCUGCGCAGGGUAUGCGUGCGCCUGUCUACUCUCUGCCCGCAAGCGCGCACAGGCUCCUUGAAGAGAAGAGAAACGCCUCACCGCGGGUGUGGGCACGGCACCGGCGCUUCCCCUGAGCCACGAUUUCGUUCUACUUUGCAGAUUACCUCUCGCGCACAAACCCGCUGCCGCCGCCGCCGCAUCACAAGGCUCAAGACGGAGAGGAAGAGGGAAACAUCAACCGCAACGGCGACGAACACGAUCACUGGCACGGCGAAGGAUAGUGCAUCGGUUUAUCAUUGCUGUUUUAUAUCGGCUGGGGUCCCGCCGCACACACGCACACAUUUGCAUUGCGCAGCACGGCUCGGCUCCUGUUGUGGCGUUUACGGGGCUUAGCGGGGGACGUUGAUGUCUGUGUUUGCCUCUGCUCUUUCUCGUGAGCACUAGCACGCAGGCAGACGCCGGCUCAAAGACAUGGUUUGAAGCACACGUGCUCUCCUGUGUCUUCCACCUGUGCCAUCACACGCUCACAGACCUUUAUGCGGAGGCCUUGGUGCUCGCACGGGGCGACAGGGCAGCGUAAGAGGAUUUCGUAUCUUCUCUCUCUCUCACUCGGUGCCGCUGUUGCGUUGCCCGACAGAGCCACACGGCAACGCGUCCUCUUCCACCCGCACCAUCAACAGCCUCCGCACUUACUCGCCCUCGCAUGCUGUCGCGGGCCCUGCGACACACUUUUCUGCAAUUGGCCAUGGCAUGAUCGGCUCGGCACACAUGGUCGGCAUACAGCGAGACGAGAUGCAGCCGCGGCCGCCGCGCCAACGCGAGCCAGCUAACUCGGCUACCGUCGCUGCUCCCGCGCUCGAAAGUGAUGCAGCGACGCCGGCUGCUGCAUCAGCCAUGUCCUCGGCGCAGGGACUCGCGCGCUACUUCCACGGGUUGGCCGCGGGGGAUGAGAUGGCUGGGCUGAUCCGCGGCCUGCGUGCCUCUAUGUGGCAGUGCUACCAGGACUGCCUGCACCGUCCUGCAGCUGCACAGGUGCCGACUUUUCCAGCAUUGGCAAGUGGAGGGGCGAGUGGCGUGGAGGCGUCUGCUGAUGGAUCUGCGGCGCUCUCAUCACGCAUCGAUGACGCGUCGCUAAAGGGGUCCUCCUUUGCGGAUGCCGGCACCCGAUCCACAAGCCCAGCGAACCAUGGCGUAGGUAUGGGCGCGGCACUGCUGGCUGCUGUUCCUGCAUCGCCCGUCCCAAUCCCACCCGGCAAGCUGAAGGCGGCGGAGCGCCGGCAGUACUGGUCGGCCACCAAAGCCGCCAUGCUCUUCGCUGUCGAGAGCCCUUCCGUGGCGGAGGAGGCGACCGCGCUUCACUGCUCCACUAUCACACGCUCUCUCCUGUACAACUACUACUACCCUAGUGAAGGUGGAGAGGCUGCCAGCAGCUCGCCGCGCGUGAGCGCGACGCUUGAAACUGCACCUGCCAUGUCCACCCUGCAUCGCGGAGAAGUGCGGUGGGUGUUGAGUGAUACGCGUGUCGUUGAGCUCGCCAGGGAGGCGUUGAAAAUGGAUCGGUGCGACGGCGGUGUCUGCGGGUGGCAACGCGCCCUGGCGCUGCUGCGCCAGGUCGACCCCACCCCGCUCACCUCGGCUGUGGAACUGGAGCUCUACCGACGCACCGACGGCCGCCACUGGGCCGAGGCGCUGGACUGCCUCUGGCGCAUCGGGCCCGCUCACUGGACGGAGAUGGACGUGGCAGCCGCAGUGCGGUGUCUGUACUCUGCUGGUCGCCGCCACCACCAGGAGAACCUUGCCACCCUCAGCGCUGACGAAGUCGCACGGGCUGCUACAGAGGAUGGCGAGGACGGCUCGCAUGUCUCCAGCUCCCUGUUUCAGGCGCGGCUGAAAGCGCAGGCGCUGCGCAUCCACCACGCCGUGGAGGCGGCAGGUGUGCUGCGAUGGAGCACAUCAUCUACCUUCAACGAUACUCUGGGCCUUGUCGCACUCGACACGGCGGGGUGGCUGGAUGCGUGUGUGCUGCUCGAUAAACUGCUUUCGGGUGCGACUGCUGCCGCCUGCUCCCGAGACGCGGGCGUGAGGGAGGGUGCCGCGAGAGGAGCCGUGGGCGUGGUUCGGCGCGAGAAGGCGGUGCACAGUGUGCAGCGCAUCACGGGCGGCGAGGCUGUUGCUAACAGUGAGCUGUUUCUGGCGUCAACGUUUUACGAAAGUGAGAUAGUGUCUCACAGCGGCGAUACACUGGUGCCACCCCACUCACCGCAGCGCGCGCGGUCCCCUGAGCCCCUCUACCACCUCGUCCGAGCCAAUGCGGUGACGGUUCAUCAAACGUGCCGCGCGCUUCGGUCCCGCUGGGAUGUGGGGCUGCGCUAUGUGCAGCUCCUGCAAGACGCCUUCGUCGACACCCUCGACCUUCCAUCCGACACCGCGGCAACGGAAGACGUGCUUCGACUGUGCAUUAUAGGUCAGCAAUGGGAGGCGGCGCUGCGGCUCGUGGCAGCUCAUCAAGCAGCGAUGGCCGAUGGCGCCGAGGGCGAUCGCCUGCCCGCGACCGCUGAGGUUGCGGCAUCGAAAAGGGCAACACCGCACCACAACCGGAAACACUACCGCCCAGAUGUAUUUGUACAGCUGGUGCGCCUGCUCGGGUCUGUGCAGCCGGCACGCAGCGCUGCGUAUGACCUGAUUCACCGUUACGCGGCAUCCCGUGCCGCCUUGUCAACCGCCCGUGUGAACGUGAACAGGAACAGCCGCAACGUGGCGGGGCUGGAACUAUCGAAGCACUACAACACGAACACUCUCUCACGCGCGUACAACUUUCUCGUGCAGAGUGCGGACACCCUCGGCGCAGCCGAGCAGGUGCUUGAGCAGCUCCGGCGUUCUCGAUCGCCGCCACUGCAGGGGUGUAGCGCAGCCGCUCAAGAGGCGAAAAGCCACGCAGGCAGAGAUGCAGGCCGGCCGCUUCGUGACAUGGACGCCGGACUGGCUGGGCUCGAGACUGAAUCGGUGGCUCACAUCGCCUAUCUAUCCGCCGUCGCGGGCGAUUGGCGCCGUGCACUGCACCACGCGAACGCGCUACUCCACGAGCCGCGCUAUCGCACCACUUUCUUCCCAACAGCUCGCCUCCACGACGCGGUGCAGUACGCUCUCGAGCAGGCGCCGUCUCCCGGGCCCUCUUGGCGGGUAUCGCUGCAGCUCUUCACGGACAUGAUGGAGCGCAAUGUCCCGAGCUCUGAGGUGUCUUUCCAGUCUGCGGUGAAGCGCUGCUUUGCUGGCGGGGUGCCCGAUCAAGCGCAGAGGCUCUUUCACUUCGUCCUGCGCAACGGCGUGCGACCGUGAUGAGAAGCAGUGCGUGUGCGAGUGGGCCUAUGCGAAGGAGAAGAGGAAAAAGACAAAAAAAGGGGGGGGGCCUCACCAUUGCCCGGGAGUCGAUGAUGCACGCGCGCUUACGUGUCAUGGAAAUCCACAGAGGGGUGCUUCGUUACCGUUUUUUUUUCACUUGUUGCUGCAUUUUUCCCCUUUUUGCUUGCAUAUGUACAUGCGUGCACACGAACCCACCCUGCGCAGGUGCGGCUACUUUCUCCCUCAUGGUGAAGAGAGAGAAGGCUUGAGAGCGCUACACGAGUACCCCAUCCCACCUGGGCGCACGC